rnacentral:rRNA from 1 species
GGGGAAUAUUGGGCAAUGGGCGAAAGCCUGACCCAGCAACGCCGCGUGAAGGAAGAAGGUUUUCGGAUUGUAAACUUCUUUUAUCAGGGACGAAGAAAGUGACGGUACCUGAUGAAUAAGCCACGGCUAACUACGUGCCAGCAGCCGCGGUAAUACGUAGGUGGCAAGCGUUAUCCGGAUUUACUGGGUGUAAAGGGAGCGUAGACGGAGUGGCAAGUCUGAUGUGAAAGGCAUGGGCUCAACCUGUGGACUGCAUUGGAAACUGUCAAUCUUGAGUGCCGGAGGGUAAGCGGAAUUCCUAGUGUAGCGGUGAAAUGCGUAGAUAUUAGGAGGAACACCAGUGGCGAAGGCGGCUUACUGGACGGUAACUGACGUUGAGGCUCGAAAGCGUGGGGAGCAAACAGGAUUAGAUACCCUGGUAGU